CACGUAGGGUGCGAGCGUUGUCCGGAAUUAUUGGGCGUAAAGAGCUCGUAGGCGGUGUGUCGCGUCGGCCGUGAAAACCUGCAGCUUAACUGUGGGCUUGCGGUCGAUACGGGCAUCACUGGAGUUCGGCAGGGGAGACUGGAAUUCCUGGUGUAGCGGUGAAAUGCGCAGAUAUCAGGAGGAACACCAGUGGCGGAAGGCGGUACUCUGGGCCGGAACUGACGCUGAGGAGCGAAAAGCCGUGGGGUAGCGAACAGG
rnacentral:rRNA from 1 species